GAUGAACGCUGGCGGUAUGCUUAACACAUGCAAGUCGAACGGUCACUUCGGUGAUAGUGGCGGACGGGUGAGUAACGCGUGAGAAUCUGUCUUCAGGUCGGGGACAACAGUUAGAAAUGACUGCUAAUACCGGAUGUGCCUUAUGGUGAAAGAUUUAUUGCCUGAAAGAGAGCUCGCGUCAGAUUAGCUAGUAGGUGGUGUAAGAGACUACCUAGGCGACGAUCUGUAGCUGGUCUGAGAGGACGAUCAGCCACACUGGAACUGAGACACGGUCCAGACUCCUACGGGAGGCAGCAGUGGGGAAUUUUCCGCAAUGGGCGAAAGCCUGACGGAGCAAUACCGCGUGAGGGACGAAGGCUUUUGGGUCGUAAACCUCUUUUCUCAAGGAAGACACAGGACGGUACUUGAGGAAUAAGCAUCGGCUAACUCUGUGCCAGCAGCCGCGGUAAU
rnacentral:rRNA from 1 species